UUCAAUCAAUGUAGAUGCUCUAAGGCUCGUAGACAGAUAUUUUUUAAGAGCGACAAUGAUUCUUACUUGCUAACUCUUUUAUUUUUUUUGGAAGGCCAAAGAUAAGGGUGCUAAUUUAGAUUGAAGUGUACAAUAUCAAGAAGUCCGAGAAAUUAGGAUGGGAAGUAGCGUUGAAUGAUCUUAUCCUUGGAAUCCAUUCUUCUUUGUACCAUAAUACAAAUUAUAAAAUAUACUAAUACGCUUCUUAGUUCAUGGAUAUAAUGUCCCCAAGGGGACACCAAGCGGUGCGAACUUUUAUACGAACAAUGAGGUGCAGGGAUCAAACUCCACCAUUUACCCCCCCCCCC
rnacentral:lncRNA from 1 species